rnacentral:rRNA from 1 species
ACGAACGCUGGCGGCGCGCCUUAUGCAUGCAAGUCGAGCGGUCUGCUUCGGCAGACAGCGGCGGACGGCUGAGUAACACGUAGGUAACCUGUCCGGAAGUGGGGAAUAACUCGCCGAAAGGUGAGCUAUUACCGCAUAUGGCCCGGGGCUGCAAUGCCCCGGAUCAAAGUCGCAAGACGCUUUCGGAGGGACCUGCGGCCUAUCAGGUAGUUGGCAGGGUAACGGCCUACCAAGCCGACGACGGGUAGCUGGUCUGAGAGGACGACCAGCCAGAAGGGGACUGAGACACGGCCCCUACUCCUACGGGAGGCAGCAGCGAGGAAUCUUGAGCAAUGGGCGAAAGCCUGACCCAGCGACGCCGCGUGAGGGAUGAAGGCCUUCGGGUUGUAAACCUCUUUUGCGGGGGAAGAAACAAGACGGUACCCUGCGAAUAAGCCACGGCUAACUACGU